rnacentral:rRNA from 1 species
AGUGAACGCUGGCGGUAGGCCUAACACAUGCAAGUCGAACGGCAGCACAGUAAGAGCUUGCUCUUACGGGUGGCGAGUGGCGGACGGGUGAGGAAUACAUCGGAAUCUACUUUUUCGUGGGGGAUAACGUAGGGAAACUUACGCUAAUACCGCAUACGACCUACGGGUGAAAGCAGGGGAUCUUCGGACCUUGCGCGAUUGAAUGAGCCGAUGUCGGAUUAGCUAGUUGGCGGGGUAAAGGCCCACCAAGGCGACGAUCCGUAGCUGGUCUGAGAGGAGGGUCGGCCACACUGGAACUGAGACACGGUCCAGACUCCUACGGGAGGCAGCAGUGGGGAAUAUUGGACAAAGGGCGGAAGCCUGAUCCAGCCAUACCGCGUGGGUGAAGAAGGCCUUCGGGUUGUAAAGCCCUUUUGUUGGGAAAGAAAAGCAGCAGGUUAAUACCCCGCUGUUCUGACGGUACCCAAAGAAUAAGCACCGGCUAACUUCGUG